rnacentral:lncRNA from 1 species
UGUCAUUUCCUGAGCCACAGGGGUUUUAGGAGCAUCUUUCAUUCUAGUGUUUGGUCUUUGACCCCGGUUCCCAACAAACAGCUCCUACUCCCUUGGAAUUUAUUGGGUGAUGGGAGUGUCUUGUUCUAAUGAAGCAACUCUAAUGGGCUCCUGGACGGGGCUGGUCACCAGAAAGACCAGGUUAUGCUGAGAAGCUUGAAACCGUCAGUCCCCCGCCACCCCAUCCUCUGGGAAGGGAAGAGGAGCUGGAGAUCAUGCCCAUGUGAUGAGGCCUCCGUCAAAGUCCUUGCACUCCGGGAUGUGGCUGCCGGACAUGCGGAGGCGCUGGGAGAGCGGCACACCUGGAGAGGGCGUGGAAGCUCCAACACCCCACCUCCACACCGCGUGCUAUGCAUCUCUCCCGUCCAGCUGCUCCUGGGUUUCAGUCUUUCCUAAUGAACAGACGGAGCUUCCCUAUGUUGUCCAGCCUGGUCUUGAACUCCUGGCCUCAAGCAAUCCUCCUGCCUUGGCUUCCUAAAGACACAGAAAGGAGUGACCUCUCCAACCUUCCAUAAAUCAUCAGAACACUGCAGAGUGACAGUGGGAACUCCAGAGAUUAAACACGGAGGUGAGGCUGGCCAGGGAUCACAAGAGGCCCAACACCCAGACAGUACGGAACCUGGGUGGGCACCUCGUCCGUUUUGUCAUCCACAGACCAGAGCUCACUGCUUUCCAGAUCUCAAGAACAAAGCCCAAACCAUGGAAAUAAACACGCUGUUAUCAGUGUAGAAGGAACACAGCCAGCGGCACCGCACGGCGCCCUCCAUCACCUCUGGGCUUCUGCACUUCUGAUGACUCCAUCCAGAUCUCCAGCUUGUCCUGUGGACCCAUCCAUGCAGAAGCAGACUCGGCAGGCACAAGGACCAUUUUCCACACCCCUAUGAUUGCACCUCAUCCAAUCAGCAGCACCCACUCCCUAGUCCCCAGCUCCCUCCAGAUUAUCCUUGAAAAACCCUAGCCUCUGAAUUUUGGGGGAGAUUGACUUAAGUAAUAAAAUUCCAGUCUCCCACUUAGCCAGCUCUGUGUGAACUAAACUCUUUCUCUAUUGCAAUUCCCAUCUUGAUGAGUCAACUGAGGUAAAGAGCAACCUGGCUGAAGGUCAACAGCAGGGCUUUUUAAUCAGAUCCAUGCUGCCCCAAAAUAAUGAAACCCUGGAUCAGCUUCUUUUCCAAAUCUUGAGAAUACAGGCUCCUGGGCUGUGAAAUACAAUUUGAAAAUGUUUCUCUUCUAACAAAGAGUGCAAUGUCUUGAGUACUUUAACAUACUGUUUUCUGAAAUCUCACUGUUUGCUGGUAGGUAUCAAUGGCUUUGGUGUGGGGCGUCUGAUAUGUCUAUAUAAAGAAUCUCAUGCUGCCCCAGGAAAAAGCACAUAUAUCCAUAUUUUUGUUUGAUUUUGUAAAGCUUAUUGUACAAGAUCACAUUUUUGUUUUAAUAAAGAACAAAAAUGAAGUUUCA